ACGUAGGUAAUCUUCCUUCGAGCGGGGGACAACGGUCCGAAAGGACCGCUAAUACCGCGUACGUUCCCGAGGAUCCUGGUCCUUGGGAGGAAAGCUAGGUCGCAAGAUCCGGCACUCGGAGAGGAGCCUGCGUCGCAUCAGCUAGUUGGUGGGGUAAUGGCCUACCAAGGCGAAGACGCGUAGCUGGUCUGAGAGGAUGAUCAGCCACACUGGGACUGAGACACGGCCCAGACUCCUACGGGAGGCAGCAGUGGGGAAUAUUGCACAAUGGGCGAAAGCCUGAUGCAGCCAUGCCGCGUG
rnacentral:rRNA from 1 species